CCUCUUUAUAUAUGUCCAACCCUAAACCUAAUCUUCCGAAUCCCACCUUUUCUCACCCUCAAACUCCCGCCGCCGCUCACGCUCCUUGCUGCCGUCCUUGAGCCUUCACCGUCACCUAUCUUCUGUUUGUUGUUAAAUCCGAUAUCCGUCAACUUGCAAUUUGCUAUCAAUCCCUACCUUCACCAUUUCACAACGCCACCAGGCCCUCCAUCGCUCUCCAAACCCUAUCUUGUUCCCAUUCCGAUCGCAUCCUUUCCUCCAUCGCUCAACUGCAUUUAUCGCCCAGAAAACGGCAGCGGGAGUGGUGUUUUUAAUAUCCUUUGCUACUGGAGUCUAAGCCUCGUGCUUCACCUGAGCGACGAUCCAAAAGAAACGGUCGCUACUCUUCUUUCUGUCUCUUUCUCCUUGACGCUCUUUCUCCUUGACUCGUUAGUGGCGAUCUGCGACUCUGCUGUUGGAAACCGGAGUUGAAGCACAGAAUGAUUGAUUUUUACAGGUAGCAAACUUUCUUGUGGAGUGAGAUGUUCCAGCUUGGCCGAAGAAAUGAGGAUAAGUCCUGUAUGAUUUGGUUUAUCCAUGGAACUACAGGAAGAAGAAAACAAAAACAUUCUGGUGCUUUUGCGUUUGGCAUGGGAGGUAUUGGAAAGAUAGUUUCCCUUACUGUUUCAGAUGUGGGUCCAGAGAUCAUUUCACCUCAGCUUGUUCUCUGGACAGUCAGUUUGUUUUUAUUGCAAAUUGCCUGGGCACCAGAGCCGAGAUUGUCAGCUGAAGGCUCAGCACACGGCUUCCGGAGGGUCAGAUCAGAGGGGGCAGUCUAAUCAGUCAGGGGCAUAUCGAGGAGGGCAGAAACCUAAUCUUCACAUCGUCAGCAGAGGAUAGCUUCACUUGCAGCAGCAGCAUUUGGCAUGUUUGGACAGGAGUACUCCAGUGCUUCCAUAACACUCCAGAGUUCUGUUUCAGGACCUUAUUAUCCGAUGCAGGGGCAAUAUCAGAUGCAGCCUCAGCCUCUAGGCCAGUACCAGACUCAGUCUCAGUCAUCGGCACAGUAUCAGUCAUCGUCCUCUCAGUCUCAUCUGGCACAUUAUCCAGCACCGCCUCAGUGGCAGGUUUCUGCCCAGCCGCAGCAGUCGCUGGCAGCGUUACCACCUCCUUCUCCGCCAGAGACUGGACGUGUACAUGCGAUUACUAGAGAUGAUGCGCAGCGAGUCGACGGAUCCAUUUUCCGUGGUUGAUGCUGUCAGGAGAGAGUUCCAGUUGCUAGUCCCCUGCAGACCACAAGGACUUAUUGAUCUUUUGAGUUUUCUUCUUUAUUAGACUAUGUUUUGAACUUGUUUUGUUUUAGAUUGUUUUACUUAUGGAUCUUGUAUAGAUUCUUAUUGUUGAUGGACUUUGUUGUGGUUUGGAUAUAUUUUACUCCAUGUCUGCCUGGACGGCAGAAGAGGUGAGUUUGUCGGAUUUGCGCUUUACGAGUGUAGUGGAGUAGGGUUGAUUUCGAAUCAGAGUAUUAUUCUUCCGUUUGCUUGUUA